rnacentral:rRNA from 1 species
UACGGAGGGUGCAAGCGUUAUCCGGAUUCACUGGGUUUAAAGGGUGCGUAGGUGGGCAGGUAAGUCAGUGGUGAAAUCUCCGGGCUUAACCCGGAAACUGCCAUUGAUACUAUUUGUCUUGAAUACUGUGGAGGUCGGCGGAAUAUGUCAUGUAGCGGUGAAAUGCUUAGAUAUGACAUAGAACACCAGUUGCGAAGGCAGCUGGCUACACAAUUAUUGACACUGAGGCACGAAAGCGUGGGGAUCAAACAGG